ensembl:lncRNA
CUCUAGCUCUUUGAAAAGGUGAAACCAAUAAGAUUAAAUCGGACAAAGAUUUUUUUUUCUUCUUCUGUAAGUGUAUCAUUAAGAUUUAACUCUACAGAUUGGAAAGGGUCUCCGCGGGAGAAGAGGAGAGGAGAGUGAGAGUGAGAGGGACAGCGAAUGGGAGCAGGGUAGACGCUCUAAUAGAAUCUGGGAAUCGGCAAGAGUAAAAAGGAGAAAGUGGACGUCAGGACAUUAAAAGAAGAAGCGCCAGCGACGGUGGUUAACGGUAGCGGAGCAGCUUUCUACGUGGGCAAACCGGGCACCGAUAAGGCAAAGAGGAACACGGUGGCCUGCUGCCUGGACACACAGUGGGACAUGUUGGUGUGGUGAAGGGCUGACACUCGGAUGAGAUGUAAUUUAUGGCAAGUGUUGUGUGGUCAUAGGACAGUGACAGUGACGCGUCUGCUUAGAAGCACGAGAAUUGCGACCACGAAGAGCGGUAAAUAUAACAUAAAAGGAGUGUGUGUUUAUCGAGUACACUCCAAGCUUUUCUACUCAGAAAUGAAUCCAAAGCUGAGGUCAAGCCCUGACAAAUGAGAUGGUCGAGUUCUGGCCAGAUCUGCAAACAUUCCACAACAAUCUUCUGUCCUCCUCCUCUCCUCUCCUCAUAUCCGUCAUUCCUCACCCCUUCACUCCUCUCAGUGUGUCUCUUCUACGGCUUCGAGAGCGAGUCAAAGAAUGUUCUCACUGCACACAAACAUGUUUUAUUGUAUUUGCUGUGGGAAUCUUAAAGCACACACACCCUUCAAAUUAAGAAUUACAGCACUGGUUAAAUUUAAUACCUCUGACAUCUGCCGUGUUUACAGAAGGAAGGAAAACAAAAGAGUAUGAUCUGAGAGGAGAAGCUGCGGUAAAGAUUUGGAUAUUACAACCGUGCACUUUGAAAGCACACUGUGUGUGUUUGGAAAGUCUGUCAGUGAUGUCAAGGAUGAGAAAUGUUGCAGUGUGGUUUUUUACACACGCUGCUGGCUCUAGCAUUUCCGGCAACAUUUCUCACACUGCCUCCCUCACACCAUCCGCUCUGCUGCAAUAUCCCCACAUUUUUCCAUCCUUUCGAUUUUUUCCCCUCCACUCCUUGUUUUCCAUCCCUUUACUCCCUUUACCCUUCCUCUUUGCUGCCCCACCCACUCCUAAUCUCAACCUCUCCCUUCCUUCUUCCUUCACCCUCCACAUUCACCCCCCUCCUUUUAUUCCUCCGCCCACAAUAUUUUUUCAGAUUUCUUUCUAACAUGCCGUUCCUCAGAAUGCUACCACCUGUGUCUUGAGGAAGAAAGGAGCCAACCACCCGCAUUCCUUUUACCAGGAGCUGGUAAAGGUAAGUGGAGCCCCCUGUUAAAAUAAGGCAGCAAAUAAAGGUUUUGUUGUAGUGUUUCUGCAUAAACUGUCAUUUUUUUAACGCAAUGAACCUCACCACCCUUCAUCAGCUACAAAAGUCACUGUUAUAUGAACACACACAGUCACCAUCGAUGACUGUGCAGCCACAAUUGUUGCAAAGGAGCCUCGAGACCAACAAAGCUGGCUGAGACGGUAGCGCCGAAUGGAUCACGCUCUUGAAUUUGAUUUCAUAAUGAUGUAAGAUUACUAAGAGGCAAUGCAACACAGCAAAGAUCUUAAUAAAAAACACAUCAAUCUUG